rnacentral:rRNA from 1 species
UUGGGCCCACGGGGGGCAGCAGUGGGGGAUAUUGCACAAUGGGGGGAACCCUGAUGCAGCGACGCCGCGUGGGUGAAGAAGCGCCUCGGCGCGUAAAGCCCUGUCAGCAGGGAAGAAAAUGACGGUACCUGCAAAGGAAGCACCGGCUAACUCCGUGCCAGCAGCCGCGGCAAUACGGAGGGUGCGAGCGUUAAUCGGAAUUACUGGGCGUAAAGCGCUCGUAGGCGGUAUGUCAAGUCAAGGGUGAAAUCCCCGCGCUCAACGCGGGAACUGCCUUU